rnacentral:rRNA from 1 species
AACAAACGCUGGCGGCGUGCCUAAUACAUGCAAGUCGAACGGGGAAAGCUUUCGGGUGAGUACUAGUGGCGCACGGGUGAGGAACGCGUGGAUAAUCUGCCUUAGAGUGGGGGAUAACUAGUCGAAAGAUUAGCUAAUACCGCAUAAGACCACAGGAGCUGCGGCUCAGGGGGUCAACGGUUUUUCGCUCUAAGAUGAGUCCGCGUAAGAUUAGCUAGUGGGUGAGGUAACGGCUCACCAAGGCGACGAUCUUUAACUGGUCUGAGAGGAUGAUCAGUCACACUGGAACUGAGACACGGUCCAGACUCCUACGGGAGGCAGCAGUAGGGAAUAUUGCACAAUGGAGGAAACUCUGAUGCAGCGACGCCGCGUGAGUGAUGAAGGCCUUCGGGUCGUAAAGCUCUGUCGCAGGGGAAUAACACAAUGAAGGUACCCUGUAAGAAAGGAUCGGCUAACUUCGUGCCAGCAGCCGCCGUAAAAC